AGUGGUCUAAUGGAUAAGGCGCCUCCCUGCAGCUGAGCUUCACCAAACCUGUGCUUGGGAAACAUGUCUUUAGAGGAGAUGGAGGUUCGAAUCCUCUCCUCUCC
rnacentral:tRNA from 16 species